UACGGAGGGUGCAAGCGUUAUCCGGAUUCACUGGGUUUAAAGGGUGCGUAGGUGGGCAGGUAAGUCAGUGGUGAAAUCUCCGGGGCUUAACCCGGAAACUGCCGUUGAUACUAUCUGUCUUGAAUAUAGUGGAGGUGAGCGGAAUAUGUCAUGUAGCGGUGAAAUGCUUAGAUAUGACAUAGAACACCCAUUGCGAAGGCAGCUCGCUACACUAUCAUUGACACUGAGGCACGAAAGCGUGGGGAUCAAACAGG
rnacentral:rRNA from 1 species